GACGAACCGUGCGAACGUUGUUCGGAAUCACUGGGCUUAAAGGGCGCGUAGGCGGCCGUUCAAGUCUGGGGUGAAAUCCCCCGGCUCAACCGGGGAAUUGCCUGGGAUACUGGACGGCUCGAGGGAGGUAGGGGCACGCGGAACGGCCAGUGGAGCGGUGAAAUGCGUUGAUAUUGGCAGGAACGCCGGUGGCGAAAGCGGCGUGCUGGAUCUCUCCUGACGCUGAGGCGCGAAAGCUAGGGGAGCAAACGGG
rnacentral:rRNA from 1 species